UACGUAGGUGGCGAGCGUUGUCCGGAAUUACUGGGUGUAAAGGGAGCGCAGGCGGGGCUUUAAGUUGGAUGUGAAAUGCCGCGGCUUAACCGCGGAGCUGCAUCCAAAACUGGAGCUCUUGAGUGAAGUAGAGGUAGGCGGAAUUCCUAGUGUAGCGGUGAAAUGCGUAGAUAUUAGGAGGAACACCAGUGGCGAAGGCGGCCUACUGGGCUUUAACUGACGCUGAGGCUCGAAAGCGUGGGGAGCAAACAGG
rnacentral:rRNA from 1 species